AGGGUCUUAAAUGUAUAACGGUCAAGGUGACAGUUUUAGCUUUCUACCGCCAACUCCUCAAUGGACAUAGCACUGGCUACCCUGUAACAUCAGCUCUCAGUUCCUGCCUUCCAAGAUUGGGGAUCAGGAGAGAAGGAGAGUCCAUGUUCGGAAGGAAUCUGUCUGCCCAACUGCACUCGAGACCAAGUCAUAUCUUCACCUUUCUUAAUCAAACAUCUAAAGCAAAGCUUCCUGACUUCUGAUAAAAUUCCGAGUCUGAGGUAACCCUCGGGGAUAGCGAAAAUCAGACUCCAGCCCAGGCCACAGUCUUUGGCUGCAACCGAGUUUGAAAAUGCUUAGGUGGGACAUAGAGCCUGUCGUAGUCAAAGGCCACCCCGUUCCCUGUGCAGUUCCUUCUCCUUCAUUCACUGAAGCAGAAGGCUCCCAGGGGUACCCAAUGGAGAAGAAAGUUUGUAGUCAAGUUUUGAACAAAUUGGAAACACCUCUGUUCCUGGCUUCUAAUCAUCACAACCCCUGAUAGCGUCGGAAUGUGUGAGGCCAGUCACAAGCGCACCUCCGGUGAGGCUUCUGCAUUCAGGUCUAUGGGUGUCUCAAUCACCAGCUCUCUCAAAGGCUCAGCCAUGUCUGUCAUGUUCCCAUGCAUGGUCCUGACUCCUGGACACUCGUGGGCCAUAGUAUCCUUAAGAGCAACUUUCUUCCAGUGAGGAGAGAAACUCAUUAAACACACCUCCUGUCUCUGCUUGUUUCUUCAGCUCCCUUUCUUUUGAUCUUCAGAAAGCAACCGAUAAAAGAACCAGUUUCACCCAAAAAAGGAAACGAAAAUAAACGUUUAAAAGCAUGCUGUAAUAUCCACACCCGGCUGGCACCUUACAUUAAACAAAAAAGGGAAAAGGAAUUUUAUCUGAAUAUUGCUAGGUUUCGGGGAUGGGGGGGUUUAAAAAUCUCCCUUAAUAAUCGUGCCCAUUUGAUGCGGUGGUCAACAACUGUGGGAAAUAAUGAAAAUCUGUGGAAAAUGGGUUUUUGAUGCAAUGAUCUUAGCAGCUUUUUAAAAGAUAAUGGAACAAGUUUUUAAAAAUCACCCUAAGUAUUAAAAUUCAUAGCCUGA